rnacentral:tRNA from 1 species
GGUGAGAUGUCUGAGUGGCUGAAAGAGCAUGCCUGGAAAGCGUGUAUACGGAGACGUAUCGAGGGUUCGAAUCCCUCUCUCACCGCCA